rnacentral:piRNA from 2 species
UGCCAUAUUCCGGGUUGUUGAUGAGA